rnacentral:rRNA from 1 species
UGGGGAAUUUUGCACAAUGGGGGAAACCCUGAUGCAGCGACGCCGCGUGAUUUAGAAGGCCUUCGGGUUGUAAAAAUCUUUUGUAUGGGAAGAAAAUGACAGUACCAUACGAAUAAGGACCGGCUAAUUACGUGCCAGCAGCCGCGGUACUACGUAAGGUCCGAGCGUUUUCUGGAAUCAUUGGGCGUAAAGGGUACGUAGGCGGAUAAGCAAGUUAGAAGUGAAAUCCUAUAGCUCAACUAUAGUAAGCUUUUAAAACUGCUCAUCUGCAGGUAUGGAAGGAAAAGUGGAAUUCCUAGGGUAGCGGUAAAAUGCGAGGAUAUUAGUAGGAAUACCGGUGGCGAAGGCGACUUCCGGACCAUAUACAGAAGCUGAGGUACGAAAGCGUGGGUAGCAAACAGG